CAGCAACAAUCUGUUGUAUAUCUGUUCUUAGCAGCACAUUUCCAUAGGAAACCCCAGGUUUACAAGUCAAUUUCACAAACAAAAUCCAUUUAUAUAUUUUUUUUUCUACAAAGUUAAACAAAAUUUAGCCUAGCUUUUGAAAAGAAUUAGCUAAAACAUAAAGUAAAAAGGCAUACUUUUUAAACAGUAACAAUUCUCAAAUGAGUAUUAAAUCUUUCUUAUUGCAGUCUGGUUUAGGAUUAAACCUUUUUUUCCCCCACUUUAGUCUCCCAAGCAUUUGUUUAUCCAGUAUUUUGUGAUGUCAAUAAGGACUUUUCUUUUAACCCCUUAAGGACCAAACAUCUGGAAUAAAAGGGAAUCAUGACAUGUCACACAUGUCAUGUGUCCUUAAGGGGUUAAAGAAAAUUAGAGAGUAUUCUAAUCCAACAACAAAGAUCAAGGUUGGUCAUCAUUUGUGAUUGUUUUAAUGGAACUGCCAUUCCUAACCCAAUAGCAGUAGUUUUAUUUCAUGAACACUCCACCAUAUUGACUACAAAAAGCUUUAGUGGUCAUGCCAGGAGUGGCUGAUACCCCCACAAGUAAGUAGCCAAACCAUUUCAGUUUGACUUUGUAGUGGAGGUCAGCUGUGCAUCACUCCCCUACUCUUCUUCUUCCAACAGAGAACCAGCAGCUCUUUGAGCCUCUAGAAUGGGAAAUGCAAGAGCACUCCUUGCACCAAAACCACUACAAUGCGCAGCUGUAGGUAUGUUGCUUGGAGUGCUCAUUUAAAUCCAUUUUUGUCUCAUAAAAUGAACAUAGUUAGAAAAAAAAAAAAAAGAGAACCGGAUAACUUAAUUACUGACCAGUGGCACUACAC